CCGAUGUCCUUCAAACAUGGAUGUGAGAUUGCUCAGACUCUAGACUCUAGGAAGCCAGUUGGGGAGUUGAUGGGCCUGUACUGUAAAUGUAGAAUGUUUGUUGUCCUGUAAUUUAUUGUUUUUAUGAAGGUUAGGGAGAUGGUGGAAGAUGAAGUUCAAACCAACACGAGCUAACUGACUACUAGAAAGCUUAAGAUGAACACCAGUGAGUUGAUUUGUCAGGUCGUUUCUGAAGCAUAAAUCUUUCUUUCAGCAUCUGAUGUGAAGGAUAACUACAUGGUAGACACACUUUUUUUUGGCUCUUAGUCUAUUAGGUUAACGUUGUGUAUUACUUCGUAACUUUAUUUAAUUCUUUGGAAGUUUGCAGCGUUACCACACAUUCAUGUUAACACUGACCCAAGGUUAGUGGUUAAAGAGGUUGGGUAUGGGUUUUUCUCUAGGAAGAUGUACGGGCUUUCUGGUCCAGUUUUUCUUGUUUUUAAAGAAAAACUUUUAUGGACAAUCAAUCUCUUUCAAACCUUGUGGUGAAUAUUUGUGACACCUUCGUAGGAAUUUUUUUUUUUUUUUGGAAAAUUAAAAUUUUGUUUUUUUUUUCUUUGGUUUGGUCUAGUAUGAUGUGUCUGUACUCGAUCGCUGGUUAACGGAAGCAUCGACCAAUGCUCUGUUACCAACGAGCCACUUCAACACACACAGGAAUUUUUAUUUUUCAGUAUCUAAUUACUCUAUUUUAACCUUGUUAGCAAUGAGAGAAAGUCUUACCACCGCUGUUUCUCGAACGUCAACCUCAAACUUAUUCUAUGUGGGCGCCCGAUGAGACAAGACACUACCUCUUUGUUGCUUACCCCCGUAUACUUUUAUGGUUUGGCGAGAUUUAUCAAAAACUUUGCUCGGCUCCCACGGGCCAUGGUAUCUUUAAAUGAAUAUAAUUUUUUGGUUGUUUAAUCAAUUUAACUUUUAAAUUGAAUAUAUAUAACACUAAAACAUUAACUAGUACAUUUUAAAUUGAGUAUGUUAAUUUAAGCAUUCUAAACCUAUGUUACAUGGAAUCAGAAGCAAGUACAUGGAAUCGGAAAUGUAUAAAAGCACAAAAGCGAGAAUUUUUUAAAAAAUUAAGAAGUCGGUACGUGUUGGAAGCGUAUAUCCAUAUAUAUAUAUAUAGAUAAUAAAUUUUAUAAAAUUCAUGAAAAAAUAUAUGAUUGAAAAUAAAUAUAAAUUAUUUAUUCAUUUAUAAUAAUUUAAUAUUAAAGCUGUGAAAAUACACAUAAAUUAGUUUUAUUAUAAAUUAUUAUAUUAAUUAUUUUUAACAUUUCAUAAAUAAUUGACACAAUAUUAUUUGAAUAUAUAUGUUAUAUCUCUAAUAGAACCUCAAUACUUAAAGAUAAUUUCAGUUUUAAUGUUUGUAUAUUUUUAUUCUCUCUAUUUCAUUACAAUUAAGUUUGGGCAAUUCUCAUAAAUAGAUCAUUUUCAAGUUUUGGUCACAAAAAUAGACCACAAAGAGGAAAAUGACCAAAAUAUUUCAGUUAAUAGGUAAAAGGACACUAAUAACCUAGAUAUAUAAAAAAAAUAAAAAAAUAACUUUUUUUUAUAGUUUUAGAUUUUAUGUUUUCAAAUUCAAACUUUUUUAUAAUUUUGUUUUCAAAUUUUGUUUUUAUUUUUUUUUCAAAUUUUUUUUUUGUAAUUCGAAAAUACUUUUUGAAACUAUUUUUAAAAUUUUUAAUAUUUAUUUUCUAUUUUAUAAAAUAUUAAACCUCAAACUCAAAUUCUCACUCCCUUAACUCUAAACCCUAAGGUUUGAAUUAGUUAACUCUAGGAGUAUAAGUGUAUAUUUACCUCUUUAAUGAAUAUUUUGGUCAUUUUGAUUCUUAGAGUCUAUAUUUGUGAUAGAGACUUUUUUUUUUAUCAAAAGAAAAUUUUUUAGUGUUAUCCUAGGGUAUUUCCCAUUAAGUUUUCGAUUUAUAUAAAAAAAAAACAUGAUUUUAUAUUUUUUAUUUAUUUUUGACAUCAUUUUUUUAAACGGAAGCGUGAUUCCAAACAAAACAUAAGUGUUUUGGAAGCGUGAUUCAAAGACACAAGGCUUACACAUGAAUCAGAUUUCGGUUCCGAAACGGGAAGUAUACGUCUGAAGAUUUCGUGCGACCUAGUUCCAGAUAUAUCUGUCCAUCUCAUCAACUUAAUUAUUUUUUGUCGACCAACUUCUUUCAUAAAAAAAACUCAUAAGAGAAAAUACAACAAAGAUUGACAUACAUAUUCUCCAAUAUACAUUGAUAUACAUUUUAAACCCUUUUACCCAGACCCAAUAUACUGAUUAUGGGAAAAGAAAUAAAAACAAGCGUAUCGCCAUACAUCAUCACUCGAGAUGGAUAAUCUUUGUGCAGACAACACUAAGGGUGAGAUGGAUCCAGAUAUUCAAAGAAUUUAAGGUAUUUGGAUCUGGAUACGGAUUCGUAGAAGCCGUGAUCUUAGUAUCUGAAUCAGUGACUUCCGGAUAUCUGAGUUUCAGAUAUCCAUCUAAAUAUUGUAAUAUCUGCAAGUAUCCGGAUCUGGAUUCAGAUCCGUAAAAAAAAGUUAGAAAAUAGUUUUAAAAUGCUAAAUUUUAAAACUAAUAUAUAAAUUAAAUAUUUAUAGAAAAAUAUCUAAAAUAUAUAUAAGAUUAUAAACAUUAAAAUAAAAUAUUAUAUUGGAAGAUUAAUAUAAUGUAUAAUUAUUAAUAAAAUUUUAAAUUUAAUGUAUUUAAAAAAUGCGGAUCUAGAGUUAAAAUCAAGAUAUUUGGAGUCUGAAUUGAAUUCGACGGAUCUGACAUUUUACUAUCAGGAUCCGGACACCUUAGAUUUCUUACUUUCGGAGCGGAUCCGCAUCGAUCCGGAUUCCAGAUAAUAAAUCCUAGCCCUAGUCGGCACAUGCAGAUCCAUGAUCUGCGCUCACGCCGCUACCAGACUUGUCAAGCUUCAUCGAUGGUUCCUUUUGCAUCUAUCAACCCUUAAGCUUUGAUGGAUCACCAUUUGGAACGUUAGGCGGAAAUUUCAAUAGUUUCAUUAACUUGAUGCAAUUUCCAGUUAGCAGAAACUCCACCUCUUUUAGCCUAAUCUCAUGUCUAAUCCUAAACUAAGCGAAUUAUGACGGCAAAGAUAUUACUUCCACAACUAGACCUGGUUAUUUUACCUAAUACUCAAACUCCUAUCCGAACCUGUCCCUUAAAACCUAAACCGAAAUUCAAACUGAAGUGAAAAAUUACCCGAACUGGUAUUGAGUUACAAGAGAUUGUAUAACAAAACCCAAAUGGGUUAUAUCCUAACCCGAAUGGAUAUCCGAAGAUAACCAAACAUAUGCAUACUUAACCUUAUAUUUUUUGUUUCUUUUCUUUCUUUCAUUUUAUUCAAAAUAUUUGCUGCAUAUGGUUCAAAGAUCAUAUAAUAUACAUAUAAUUGCAGACAAAGUGAUUUUCUACUUGCUUAAAAUAUAUGUGAAAAGCUUCUUGUUUCAUGAAGUAACAAAAGUUGUAUUCAAAACUGCAAGACAACAGCCAAAUUAUUUUCUUUAUAUUUUCAAAUUUUUAUCUACAAACCUAUUAAUUGUUUAACCUAUUAAAAAUUAGAAAACCAGUUAAGUUAAUGGUAAAAUUUUAAAUACAAAAAACCUUACCAAUGAAUAAUUUGAAUUUUAUUUUUAAAAUCUAAAUAGCCGAGCCCGAUCCAAAAUAACUUAACCACAAACUAAAAAUAUCUGAACCUGAUUCGAUACAUAAAAAUAUCCGAACGGAUUCUAGACUCUAACACCAAAAUACCGACAUAAAUCCGAACAAAUAUCCGAACGCUAAAAACCUACCUACAACUACAAGAUCUGAUUAAUUAUCCCUAUUCCCUAACACGAAUAUCUAGAAAUACUAAAAAUCAAAUUUAUGAAAUUUUAAUAAAGAUUUCUAAAGUAAAUUAUACAUUUUGAAAAUAAAAUAUCUACAAAGAACUAAAAUUCAUUCAAUAUUUCUGUCAAACUUUAAAAUAAUAUAUAUAUAUAUAUAUAAAGCAUAUUUUAUAUUUUCUAGAUAUUUAACAGAUCUUGAUAUAUAAGACCUAAAGUUAUAUUAUUCUUUUUUUAUAGUUUUGAUACAUUAAAACCAAAUCUACACGUAUCUAAAAUGAAAUAAUUAAAAUUUGAUUUUAUGUAAACCUAUUUAGAAACAAAUCUAGAUAACCUGAAUCAAAAGAUCAUCUAAAAUAUAUCUUAUUAUUUAUUAAAUUUUCUUUGAAUAGUUUAACAUAGAUUCUUUUUGUUUCUUAUAGCUAUUAGUAAUAAAAUAUCAAUUUGAAUGGUUUGAUUUAUAAGAAAGAUUGCUAUAAAAUAUGGCUUUAUUUUUACUCUGAACAGAAUCAAAUCUACUAUAUAUAUAUAUAUAUAUAUAUAUUAGUGCUUGUUAGCCACUAGUUAUAUAGCAAAAUAUAUUAUAAAACACAAAGAGACAUACAGAGAGAGGAGAGAAUAAACAAAAGAAAAGAUGAGGUUGGCUGCAAUCUUCUUGGCUUGUUGUAUCUUAUCCUCUUUACUCCCAAGCCACUUCUCUCAAGGUGAAGAACUAAGUGUGACUACUGGGCAGAUAAAGCCGUGGUGCCCAUCAAAAAAACAAGCGUUCAGUGGUUCAUGCUCAAAUGAUGGAGCACAACAAUGUGUAAAUGACUUGUUAAAUACUUGGUAUCCAUAUGUAAGGCUUGGCCCAAUCUCCUGCACUUGCACUUCUCAGUCUAACAAUAUGCGUCUCUGUAGUUGUCCUAAUAUGAUUUGCAAAUAAAAAAAUUCUUCUAAUUAUAAUACCCCAAACUGUUGUUCUAAACAAUUUUCAUAUAUAUCUGUAAUAUUGUUUAAAUUCCCGUGAGAUAAUAAUAAUAUAAUUGCAUCUCCAAAUAAAAUUA